UCGCCUGCAGCACUUAUUGUAGGUACAGCCUGCCCAAUGAUUUUUAAUGGCCGCAGUAUACUGACUGUGCAAAGGUAGCAUAAUCACUUGUCUCCUAAUUAGAGGCUUGUAUGAAUGGCUAGACGUGGAAAUUACUGUCUCUAAUAAUACAUAAAACUUAAUUUUUAAGUCAAAAAGCUUAAAUAAAUUAGCAGGACGAGAAGACCCCAUAGAUCUUUAUAUUGAUACCUUUAAAAGCUAUAGCUGUCACCAUUUUAAAGAACAUAAAUAUUUUGUUGGGGUGAUAAGAAGUAACAAACACUUCACAUGCAAACGACUAUAGUAGAUUAAAUGACCCGGCCCGCCGAUUAAAAAAUUAAGUUACCUUGGGGAUAACAGCGUAAUCUGCCUUAAGAGUCCUUAUCAAAAGGCAGGGUUGCGACCUCGAUGUUGGAUUAAGAAUCUCUUCAUGAGCAGCCCCGUGAAAGAGGGGUCUGUUCGACCCAUAAAUUCUUACAUG
rnacentral:rRNA from 1 species